rnacentral:lncRNA from 1 species
AAAUAUAAAAAAACAACGAAGUUGAUCUGGGGAAUAAUUAAAUAGAAUUUCUAAAAAUGAAAAAUAUGACUCUGGGGGAUUUUAUAAAACAUAUUGGAUAUUCUCUUAAUUAACCGACUCUUCUAAAUCUAUGGAUUAACUUUAUAACCUCAGUCAAGUAUGGAAGCAGAAAUGACCACCACCAGCCUCAUGAAGUGGGUCUUAAGGCAUAAAAGAACAUCUCUUAUUCACAGAUGCAAGUAGCCAUGAAUUAAGCCUGGCCAUUCCCAUCCCACUAUCUCCAGUCUUAAAACAGCAACAUCGACAAAUAAACCAGCUUACUACUGACAACGAGAGAUAAUUCAGAUACCGUACAGAAUCUAUAAGGCUUCUGGUUGUUUCAUUUGGACACAAGUUGUACAUUUAUCAAGUAUACCCCACAGUCAUUUACUCCCUGAACUCUUGAGUCUUUUGUUAAUCUAUCUGUGUCUGGUCAGACGGAUCUUGGCCAGGCACAUGGCUUCUGCAUGGCAGCUCCUUUUGUGCACACUCUCUCAUGCAAGUGUUCCUGUUCCCUACUAUCUGGAAUUAUAAACGAUGUGACUAACAUGUAGUGGUACUACUUCCUAAUUCUUACAAGGUGUUUCUUUUUAUUCAUGGAUAUUUAUUAAAAAAAAAAAAAGGAUGGGGUCACCCACCCACCUCAAAAAUGUUUAUCCAGAAUUCCUCCUGUUAAAAGGAAAUGCUGGGACAGAGUGGAGCAGAGACUGAAGGACAGGCCAUCCAGAGACUGCCCCACCUAGGAUCCAUCUCAUCAGCAGACACCAAGCCCAGACGCUAUUGCAGAUGCCAAGAAGUGCUUGCUGACAGGAGCCUAGUAUAGGCUAAGAGACUGGUGUCCCCUGAGAGGCUCUGUCAGAGUCUGACCAAUACAGAUGCAGAUGUAUGCAGCCAAACAUUGGACUGAGCACAGGUGCCCCAAUUAGGGCAAGGAUUGAAGGAGCUGAAGGGGUUUGCAACCCCAUAGAAAGAACAACAAUAUCAACCAACCAGACACCCAAAAGUUCCCAGGAACUAAACUACCAACCAAAAAAUACACUUGGUGGG